rnacentral:sRNA from 2 species
GCAGGUUCGGGUCGAACGCAGUGAGACAACGGAGCCGCUUGCGGCGACGGCCCGAAGGGCGAGCGAAGCGAGUCAUCCUGCACGACCCACCA